AAGAAAAAGAGCAUGGAAACACACACAGACCUUGGGUCACAUUCCAGCUACUGAGCUGACGGCUGUGUGAUCUUGGGCAAGGAGCAUAGCCUUUCAGUCCCUACUCUGACAGCUGUAAACGUGGGAUAAUAACAUGUCACUAUGAUUAAAUGAGAGAAUGCAGGUAAAGUGCUCAGCACACAGGGUGUUUAGCACACAGAGUGUUUAAUAAGUGGUGGGAGUUCUCGUUAUUACUAUUAUUUGGCAAAUUUGUGAAAUGGAAGGAACUCUAAGGUAGUAAAAUCAUUGUAAGAGAAGAAAGGAAUAGAGCCUCAACCAUCUCCAAGCCUCCUUGCUCUGGAAUGAUUGAGAUAUCUCAUAUCAACAUUAGAGUGGGUAACAGCAAUACAAUUUUCUGCAAUAAAAUUGCUUGUUUCAGCCAGAGGGUGGAAAAAAAAUAGAAUGAAGCUGUGUUGGCUCCUCUAAGGUAUCCAGCGCAACACAUAUUUGUUGCAGCACAAAGGAGCAAGAGGCUGUGCGUUCGGUCAGAGAGGAAAAUGUGCAGAAUUCAGAAACAGGAGGGAUUCAGUGAGAGGUCUCGCUUUCUCUCUUUCCAACGAUAGGAACUGAAUGAAGAUGGUUAUUCUCUAUCAGGGACCCUCAGCUACCUCCCAGGAGAGCACAAGAGUCCUGCUGCAGAGGCGGCUGUGGGAAGGGAAACCCUCUCAGAGGUCAGCACCCAAGAAGCCACAGAGUGAGCUGAUCCAGCUCAACCACGCUGCAGUGGCGAUGGAAGAACCGCAGUCCCAGCGGUUGGGAGGAAAUCCAUCACAUCCCAACAAUGGGUGCACCACACUUAUUAAGAGACAAAACAAACAGUGCAACUCUUUCGUCCAACUUUUACCUCCCAGUAUCUGGGAAUUUCUAUGUCAUUGGAACACAAGAGAAACAAAUUUAUAGUUUUUUACUCAGAUUGGAGAGCCCUAAUUUUGAUAAGCUGUAAGAACUUUUUUUCCCCACCAUUUGACUUAAUCGAGUGGUUAAAACCAACACAUAAGGGAGAAAAAUACAGAAACUCUAAGCUCUGCAUGGUCCCUCUAUGAUUGUUUAAGUGUAUAGGGGUGUGUGUAGUUAUGAGUUUAUUGUUUUAUUUGGUGAUUGCAGUACCAAAGUAAAAUGCCAAUAUUAGUAAUGUGAUACUAAUUUUACAUAACAUUAAAAUACUAGUGUUAUUUCUCUUUGACUUAACACAUUCACAUAAUGUUAUCUCUCAUUGACAACUCUGAGGUGUGUGUGUGUGUGUGUUUUUAAGAUUUUAUUUAUUUAUUCAUGAGAGAGAGAGAGAGAGAGGCAGAGACACAGGCAGAGGGAGAAGCAGGCUCCAUGCAGGGAGCCCGACAUGGGACUCGAUCACUGGUCUCCAGGAUCAGGCCCUGGGCUGAAGGCGGCCCUAAACCACUGAGCCUACCCGGGUUGCCCUGAGAAGGCAUUUUUGAAAAGCUUUCCUUCGGCAGAAAUUGCAAUCUUUUUAUCGACAGCAAGCUAUAGCUUUGUCUCAAAGACAGCAUUGCCAGCAUGCCUUUAACCCUUCUGAUUUCAUCAUGUGUGGACCGAGUAUCUGAUGCAGAUUCACCUGCAUGAAUUUCAAUUUUGUCAUGUUUAUUUUCUACUUUCACGAAAGCCUUUGAACUAGAGUAGGAGAUGUUCCUUGCAGGAGAAGCUUGACUUGCUUGAUAUUUUCAUUCUUCUCUGGAGGAUUACGAAGGCAUAGAUGAACGCUUUCUAAGUGAGUGCAGUUUUGUUGAAUUUGAAAUUUUAAUGCAGCG
ensembl:lncRNA